GGUCAAGUCUGUUUGUUUACCUCGAUCUUCUCUGCACGUGGUUAGGGAGGGAGUGUUGGCGGAUUAGCGCGCUCUGAUCAUCAUAGUCUACGUGCUACCAUAACAAUAGUGAAUGAAGAAAAGGCAGUUUAGGAUACAGUUUUCUCCUCAUUGCUCGUGUUUGUCAGUGUGAGAAUCUCUCUCUCUGAAUUUAAAUCAUCCUUCGGCCACUAACCAUGUCUCUGUCAGGUUCGCAGACUCCAGAGGACGGCUUGUACGUCCUCCACAGGUGGUGACUCCUCCACAGACCGUUGCUACCCCUCCCCACAGUGAAGGCAGUAGCAGUACAGACUGUGUUACCAUACAGUCCGAAGAAGAAGGGGAGAGGGGGCUGACUUCUGAGUGGGUAUGGGACUGGUCCAGUCGGCCUGAGAACCUUCCACCAAAGGAGUUUGUGUUCCAGCACCCGAAGCAGCAGUCAGGCUCCCUGAGUGUAAGGAAGAGUGAGGUGAUGAAGAGAGGCCUGUUCUCCUCCGACGUCCUCAUGAUCCUCAUCCCCUCACUGCUGGUCUCACACCUUCUCACACUGGGAGUGGGGAUAUACAUAGGGAAGCGAUUGGCUGCCUCCACAACUAGCACUCUGUGACAUGUGCUCCAGGACAGCGCUCCCAUUUGUUGACGGCAGACCAAUAGGAAUGCAGCCCUUGCCACAACACACCUGUUGCCCCCCUCUCUCCCUGUCAUGGGGCAACAUAGGACCAGGCUUUUCUUUACCACUGUCUCUCUGUCUGUCUCUCUAUGUCUGUCUGUCUGUCUGUCCACCACCCACCAGCACUUUGUGUGUCUGUCCAUCAGUCAGUCACCCAGCAUCUCUGAAUCUGUGAUUGUCCCAGGGCCAGAGAGAGAGAGAGAGUGUAGUGUGUGUGUGUGUGUGUGUGUGUGUGUGUGUGUGUGUGUGUGUGUGUGUGUGUGUGUUGUCAGGGCCGGAGAGAGACUGCUAUACAGACAUUGUGUUAAUAACUCAGACUGAGAUCGCUAUUACUUUACCAGCAGAGUAACACUGAUCUCAGUAAACUAACAGAGAGAAACGAGUGAUGCGAUGGAGAGAGAAAAAGGAGAGAGAAAGGAGAGAGAAAAAAAGAGAGUAACGCCUCACUAAAUCCCCAUGGAAGGUGAGAGCAGGGCGUUGAAGAAAUGGGGUAUAUAGUCCAAUGCUUGCCCAAAUUUAAACCAAAAUCGAAUUCUGGUGAAAGAAAGUCCCCAACAGUAUAUCUUUAUAUGACUUUGGCCACCAAUAAUAUGUGUCAGAAAUAACAGAUCUGUGAUAAGCCCGUGUGGUUUGUAUAACGUUGAGGAAUGGUUUGUAUAACGCUCUAAGUGGUUUAUGACAACACAGGUGGCGCUGGUUGUUUUCGUUGUCCUCUAUAACCAUCUGACUGUUUAAACCCUGAACUGUUUGAAGGACCAUAAGCCCAUUAAACUUCAUUCCUCAUACAGCUCCUCAUGCCUGUGGUCCAUUUGUCUCUCUUACUAGAUCGUUCCUUUUUUAUACACUUUUAUUGUGUUUGGUUACGCAAUCAUUUUAUCCUAAUAAUGAUACAAGUGCUAGAGAGCAGUGACAUAAUAACAUAUACAGUACCAGUCAAAAGUUUGGACACACCUACCGUAAUUUCCGGACUAUUAAGCGCACCUGAAUAUAAGCCGCACCCACUGAAUUAUUUUUUGUAUUUUAUUUUGAACAUAAAUAAGCCGCACAUGUCUAUAAGCCGCAGGUGCCUACCGGUACAUUGAAACAAAUGAACUUUACACAGGCUUUAACGAAACACGGCUUGUAACAAAAAUAAAUAGGCUUUAACGAAACACGGCUUGUAACAAAAAAUA